rnacentral:rRNA from 1 species
ACGUAAUGUAAUUCCUACAACAUUAAUGCAUCAUAUACCAUUAGAAAUCUGCAGUUCAACACGCUUGGGCUAGAGUAGUAUUGGGAUGGGUGACCUCCUAGGAAGUCCUAUUAUUUUACAUG